rnacentral:pre_miRNA from 1 species
CAGCGUGCAGUGCCCUUCACAAGGAGGUGUCAUUCAUGUGGACAAAAACAUGAAUGCCGCCUUCUUGAGAUGAGUAAUGUACAGCAUG